UACGUAGGGGGCUAGCGUUGUCCGGAUUUAUUGGGCGUAAAGCGCGUGUAGGCGGCCUUCUAAGUCUGGUGUGAAAGCCCGGGGCUCACCCCCGGAAGUGCAUUGGAUACUGGGAGGCUGGAGUACCGGAGAGGAGGGUGGAAUUCCUGGUGUAGCGGUGAAAUGCGUAGAUAUCAGGAGGAACACCGGUGGCGAAGGCGGCCCUCUGGACGGAUACUGACGCUGAGACGCGAAAGCGUGGGGAGCAAACAGG
rnacentral:rRNA from 1 species